rnacentral:rRNA from 1 species
GUGAACGCUGGCGGUAGGCCUAACACCUGCAAGUCGAACGGCAGCACAGUAAGAGCUUGCUCUUACGGGUGGCGAGUGGCGGACGGGUGAGGAAUACAUCGGAAUCUACUUUUUCGUGGGGGAUAACGUAGGGAAACUUACGCUAAUACCGCAUACGACCUACGGGUGAAAGCAGGGGAUCUUCGGACCUUGCGCGAUUGAAUGAGCCGAUGUCGGAUUAGCUAGUUGGCGGGGUAAAGGCCCACCAAGGCGACGAUCCGUAGCUGGUCUGAGAGGAUGAUCAGCCACACUGGAACUGAGACACGGUCCAGACUCCUACGGGAGGCAGCAGUGGGGAAUAUUGGACAAUGGGCGCAAGCCUGAUCCAGCCAUACCGCGUGGGUGAAGGAGGCCUUCGGGUUGUAAAGCCCUUUUGUUGGGAAAGAAAAGCAGCAGGUUAAUACCCCGCUGUUCUGACGGUACCCAAAGAAUAAGCACCGGCUAACUUCGUG